CAGGUGCAAGGUGGACGCAAGACGAGGUUCCCAGCCUGGUGGGAGCAUUUAAGGUGGGAAGACGGAGGAAUCAGCCUUAUAUUUGGGGGCAUCAGGCUGACGUGUCAGCCUCUGUCAGGACAGCACGCUAGAAGAGUCUUUCAGCCACCCAGGCAGCUGUGUUCAGGAUGGAAUCUCACAGCAGAGGCUCGGCUCUCACGCUCCGGAUGCCCAGUUUCACCCUUGCUCGGGGCCCCUGGUCACCGGGAGGAAGCACCCAGCCUUUCCUUUCAAGCCCUGCAGGGCUGUGGGAGUUACUGCCAGAUCCAGAGUCCCAAGGGCAGUCUCUGCGUUCUCCCUGUCCCAGCUGUGUGGUUUCUGCUUCGCUCUGCAGAAGACACCGAGUGCCUGGGAGCUUGGGCCCCCUGCCCAGUGCAGCCCAGCCCUGGCUAGCAAGGAAGGCUGGGUGGCUCUUCGGCCCCUGCUCCCCAGAUUCAGGAAGCUCAGGGUGAGGGUGCAUACUAAGAACUCAGAUGUCAUCUUCAGACUGCUGAAAAAUUAAAGAAAAUGGAGAAAAUCUUGAGAGUAACCAGAGGGAGAAAAAUGACUCCAACAUCUAAAAGCUAUAACAAGAAGAAUUAGAGUGGAGUUCUGGUCAGAAAACAUGCAACCUGGAGAGAAGCAGAGUGGAAUAGUGAAAGUGACACACAUGACAUGCCAGAAAUGACCCACAUGCCAUGUGACCAAAGUGACAGGUGAUGCGACUCACAAUACCACACUGACCCAACAGGAUUCCUGCUGAAGAUAGACCAGACAGCCCUCCGAAGGACAGAGUGGAGGAGGAGGAGCAACGUUAGAUACCGAGGUGACGACAUGGUGGUGGGGGGUCUCGCUAAACUAAUUUGCAAGCUUCCUUGCUAAACUGGACUUUACAAGCAAAGGCACGGUGGACCAAGGAGAAGGUUUGGGAGCCUGACCAAAGUUUGGACAAGCAAAGGACUUUGCUAAUACCGACAAUACCCUAACCCUAACCCUAACACUAACCCUAACCCUAACCCUAACCGCAACCCUAAUCCUAACCCCAAGUGCUACCACUAAGCCCUAACCCUAAAGUGUGUCUGCAGCUCUGCUGGCUAAAUAUCAAGAGUGUGCAACACAUUCUCCUGAACAUCUUCACUGCUGACAAAUCUUUGUGCUUUCUGAGUGGAUUGGUUUCUAGAAACAGCCAAAAGUUAUUCAGAACCAACUUCUGUGAAUUAAGAAAAUGUAGCUGAUUUUCUCUAUGUGUAUUAUAUGUGGUUCUGACAGCAGUUUUAACAGACAAAAUUUUAAAAAUGUUCUAAUCCAGGCACUAGGAGAGUCUCCUGUGUAGAUGAAAUGGAGGAGAUAACAGUCCAGUAGCUUUGUGAGUUGUAGACAGCUUUUCAAAUAGCUUUAUCUUAUCACACUUUGGGGCAUUCACAAAUUCCAGGUAACUCUAAAUAAGUGCCAUGAAGUUCUAUGAAAAAUAACAACCAUCCAGCUGCUUUUUGUGUUUGAAGUUGUUGCUAUUGCUUACAGUGGUUGCAUCAGUUAGCUUUACACCACUGUGACAAAAUACCCAAAAGAAUCAACUUAAAAGGACAAAAGGUUUAUUUGGGCUCCAGUGUCAGUCACUUAGCCCUGUUGCUUUGGGCCUGCAGAGGCACAGUAGUACAUCAUGGUGAGGAGGAUGUGGCAGAAGGAACUGCUCAGUUCAUGGUACCCAGGAAGAAAGAAAAGAAAAACAGGAAGGGCUGGGGUCUCAAUGCCCCCUCCAGAGCAUGGUCUCAGUGACCAGCUUCCUCCCCCGAGCCCCAACUCCUGAAAGUGUCACUGGCCCCCAAUCACAGCAAGCUGAGCACCAACCUUCAACAGUAGGCUGUGGGGACUCUCCAGGCCCAGACCAAGCCAUGCUUGUCGUGGAGACUGGCUUUCCAAAGGCUCUGGGACAUCGAUAUUCUCCCACCUUAUGCCGAGACAGUGGUUCUAAUUUAGCCCGGGGAUAAAGCGUAAGAAUCACUAAGCCUAGCACUUAGGUAGCCACAUGAGUCAGACACAGGCACUUCUUACUGCAUAGACUUCCAGCUGCCCCCUGUUCCUUCCUUCCUUUCUUUCUUUUUUUUGUGGUACCAGGGAUCGAACUCAGGUCCUUGCGCUUGCGAGGCAGGCAGCGGAACCACUGAGCUAAAUCCCUGCCCCCACCCCAGUUCCCCAUUUCUGUAUCAAAUACCAAAGCCAAUCACCCUCUCACCAUUUUCCCCAGGUUCCUAGGUGUCAGUGUACGACAUUUCCUAGGUAUCAUAGGUGAUUGCACUGGUCCAAUUGGAGGAUUUUCCUAUUAUUUCAGGUGACUAUCUUUGCUUUGCCUUCUUUUGAGCUUUUCAAGGUAGAUAAUUUGUUUUAUUUAUUUAUUUUUUCGGUACCAGGGUUCGAACUCAGGACCUUGGCGCUUGCCGGGCAGGCGAGGUAAUAGUCUGUUUAAUUUCAAGGAAGACCGAUUUCAAGCUGUAUUAAUCAGAAAAAUAAAGACACUUAGAGAAAGAUGGGUUCAGAAAAGGCCCGAGCGCCCUCUUGUGGUCAGAUAGACACCCUCUCUGGCUCCCACCGGAAGUGCUCUCUCAGGCUUUGCUCUCAGUUCUCCCGGGGCAGAGGAGCAGAAAUCCAGCAGCCUGAAGCUCAGGGGAGGGAAUUCGAGGGGAGAAGAGAGCUUUCUGUGUCCAUGAAAGCAAGUAGCCUCCUCACCAAACCGAUUCUGAAUGGAGUAAAGAGAACAGAAAAAAAAAUAGGACAACAAAAAAGAACAAGCUAAAUAAUUUUUUUCCCCAAAAUUUCUAGCUGGGCAGAAACUCUUCUAGAUUGUUCAGAGGCAACAUGAUAGAAAAGAUAAAACAUUUAAAAAUCUUUAUUGCUUAUUUUAAUUUAAGGUAUUAUGUGUUUAUUAUGGGCAAGAGAUUAGGAGAGAAAAAAACUCAGUUAAAUGUAUUUUAUUUUGCUUUUGAUCUUCACCUUCGGUAGCAUUUAUUUUUCAGUUGUUGA